CUUGGAAAUGCCAUAUGCAGGCAGCAUCAAGGGCCAUCCAUUCUCUAUCAAUGUUUCUUGCUUCACAUCUUGCAAGAAUUCUUGCAGUCUCUCUUGAAUCCUGGCUUCAAGCUGAUGGUCCAAGCCAGAAUGAGCCAGAUAUUAGGCACCACUGCAUCAGGCCGCUCGUUUGGACCUGACUCAUCAGGUGGCUGCAUCAAUAUUUAAGGCUCUUAAUCCUUCAUCAUCAACCUCCAUUCCAGAAGCAGCAGCAUUGUUCACCUGUGGGCAUGCAGU